GACGAACGCUGGCGGCGUGCCUAAUACAUGCAAGUUGAGCGCUGAAGGUUGGUACUUGUACCAACUGGAUGAGCAGCGAACGGGUGAGUAACGCGUGGGGAAUCUGCCUUUGAGCGGGGGACAACAUUUGGAAACGAAUGCUAAUACCGCAUAAAAACUUUAAACACAAGUUUUAAGUUUGAAAGAUGCAAUUGCAUCACUCAAAGAUGAUCCCGCGUUGUAUUAGCUAGUUGGUGAGGUAAAGGCUCACCAAGGCGAUGAUACAUAGCCGACCUGAGAGGGUGAUCGGCCACAUUGGGACUGAGACACGGCCCAAACUCCUACGGGAGGCAGCAGUAGGGAAUCUUCGGCAAAGGACGAAAGUCUGACCGAGCAACGCCGCGUGAGUGAAGAAGGUUUUCGGAUCGUAAAACUCUGUUGGUAGAGAAGAACGUUGUUGAGAGUGGAAAGCUCAUCAAGUGACGGUAACUACCCAGAAAGGGACGGCUAACUACGUG
rnacentral:rRNA from 1 species